GCCUGGGUGGCUCAGUUCAUUGAGCGUCUGACUUCGGCUCAGGUCAUGAUCUUGUGGUUCAUGGGUUCGAGCCCCACGUCAGGCU
rfam:Felis catus isolate Cinnamon breed Abyssinian chromosome A1, whole genome shotgun sequence.